rnacentral:rRNA from 1 species
UGCUUCAUAAGAGGCGUUGAGGAAAGGGAGCUACGGCUCCGCUUGAGGAUGAGCUUGCGUCCCAUUAGCUAGUUGGUGAGGUAAAGGCCCACCAAGGCGACGAUGGGUAUCCGGCCUGAGAGGGUGAUCGGACACAUUGGGACUGAGAUACGGCCCAAACUCCUACGGGAGGCAGCAGCUAAGAAUAUUCCGCAAUGGACGAAAGUCUGACGGAGCGACGCCGCGUGGAUGAAGAAGGCUGAAAAGUUGUAAAAUCCUUUUGUUGAUGAAGAAUAAGGGGAAGAGGGAAUGCUUCUCUGAUGACGGUAAUCAGCGAAUAAGCCCCGGCUAAUUACGUGCCAGCAGCCGCGGUAACACGUAAGGGGCGAGCGUUGUUCGGAAUUAUUGGGCGUAAAGGGCAUGUAGGCGGCUAUGUAAGCCUGAUGUGAAAUCCUGGGGCUUAACCCUAGAAUAGCAUUGGGUACUGUGUAGCUUGAAUUACGGAAGGGAAACUGGAAUUCCAAGUGUAGGGGUGGAAUCUGUAGAUAUUUGGAAGAACACCGGUGGCGAAGGCGGGUUUCUGGCCGAUAAUUGACGCUGAGAUGCGAAAGUGUGGGGAUCGAACAGG